AUCUAAGUACCCCGAGGAAAAGAAAUCAACCGAGAUUCCCCCAGUAGCGGCGAGCGAACGGGGAGGAGCCCAGAGCCUGAAUCAGUGUGUGUGUUAGUGGAAGCGUCUGGAAAGGCGCGCGAUACAGGGUGACAGCCCCGUACACAAAAAUGCACAUAUUGUGAGCUCGAUGAGUAGGGCGGGACACGUGGUAUCCUGUCUGAAUAUGGGGGGACCAUCCUCCAAGGCUAAAUACUCCUGACUGACCGAUAGUGAACCAGUACCGUGAGGGAAAGGCGAAAAGAACCCCGGCGAGGGGAGUGAAAAAGAACCUGAAACCGUGUACGUACAAGCAGUGGGAGCCUCUUAAUGGGGUGACUGCGUACCUUUUGUAUAAUGGGUCAGCGACUUAUAUUCUGUAGCAAGGUUAACCGAAUAGGGGAGCCGAAGGGAAACCGAGUCUUAACUGGGCGUUAAGUUGCAGGGUAUAGACCCGAAACCCGGUGAUCUAGCCAUGGGCAGGUUGAAGGUUGGGUAACACUAACUGGAGGACCGAACCGACUAAUGUUGAAAAAUUAGCGGAUGACUUGUGGCUGGGGGUGAAAGGCCAAUCAAACCGGGAGAUAGCUGGUUCUCCCCGAAAGCUAUUUAGGUAGCGCCUCGUGAAUUCAUCUCCGGGGGUAGAGCACUGUUUCGGCAAGGGGGUCAUCCCGACUUACCAACCCGAUGCAAACUGCGAAUACCGGAGAAUGUUAUCACGGGAGACACACGGCGGGUGCUAACGUCCGUCGUGAAGAGGGAAACAACCCAGACCGCCAGCUAAGGUCCCAAAGUCAUGGUUAAGUGGGAAACGAUGUGGGAAGGCCCAGACAGCCAGGAUGUUGGCUUAGAAGCAGCCAUCAUUUAAAGAAAGCGUAAUAGCUCACUGGUCGAGUCGGCCUGCGCGGAAGAUGUAACGGGGCUAAACCAUGCACCGAAGCUGCGGCAGCGACACUAUGUGUUGUUGGGUAGGGGAGCGUUCUGUAAGCCUGUGAAGGUGGCCUGUGAGGGUUGCUGGAGGUAUCAGAAGUGCGAAUGCUGACAUAAGUAACGAUAAAGCGGGUGAAAAGCCCGCUCGCCGGAAGACCAAGGGUUCCUGUCCAACGUUAAUCGGGGCAGGGUGAGUCGACCCCUAAGGCGAGGCCGAAAGGCGUAGUCGAUGGGAAACAGGUUAAUAUUCCUGUACUUGGUGUUACUGCGAAGGGGGGACGGAGAAGGCUAUGUUGGCCGGGCGACGGUUGUCCCGGUUUAAGCGUGUAGGCUGGUUUUCCAGGCAAAUCCGGAAAAUCAAGGCUGAGGCGUGAUGACGAGGCACUACGGUGCUGAAGCGACAAAUGCCCUGCUUCCAGGAAAAGCCUCUAAGCAUCAGGUAACAUCAAAUCGUACCCCAAACCGACACAGGUGGUCAGGUAGAGAAUACCAAGGCGCUUGAGAGAACUCGGGUGAAGGAACUAGGCAAAAUGGUGCCGUAACUUCGGGAGAAGGCACGCUGAUAUGUAGGUGAAGCGACUUGCUCGUGGAGCUGAAAUCAGUCGAAGAUACCAGCUGGCUGCAACUGUUUAUUAAAAACACAGCACUGUGCAAACACGAAAGUGGACGUAUACGGUGUGACGCCUGCCCGGUGCCGGAAGGUUAAUUGAUGGGGUUAGCGGUAACGCGAAGCUCUUGAUCGAAGCCCCGGUAAACGGCGGCCGUAACUAUAACGGUCCUAAGGUAGCGAAAUUCCUUGUCGGGUAAGUUCCGACCUGCACGAAUGGCGUAAUGAUGGCCAGGCUGUCUCCACCCGAGACUCAGUGAAAUUGAACUCGCUGUGAAGAUGCAGUGUACCCGCGGCAAGACGGAAAGACCCCGUGAACCUUUACUAUAGCUUGACACUGAACAUUGAGCCUUGAUGUGUAGGAUAGGUGGGAGGCUUUGAAGUGUGGACGCCAGUCUGCAUGGAGCCGACCUUGAAAUACCACCCUUUAAUGUUUGAUGUUCUAACGUGGGCCCCUUACCGGGGUUGCGGACAGUGUCUGGUGGGUAGUUUGACUGGGGCGGUCUCCUCCUAAAGAGUAACGGAGGAGCACGAAGGUUGGCUAAUCCUGGUCGGACAUCAGGAGGUUAGUGCAAUGGCAUAAGCCAGCUUGACUGCGAGCGUGACGGCGCGAGCAGGUGCGAAAGCAGGUCAUAGUGAUCCGGUGGUUCUGAAUGGAAGGGCCAUCGCUCAACGGAUAAAAGGUACUCCGGGGAUAACAGGCUGAUACCGCCCAAGAGUUCAUAUCGACGGCGGUGUUUGGCACCUCGAUGUCGGCUCAUCACAUCCUGGGGCUGAAGUAGGUCCCAAGGGUAUGGCUGUUCGCCAUUUAAAGUGGUACGCGAGCUGGGUUUAGAACGUCGUGAGACAGUUCGGUCCCUAUCUGCCGUGGGCGCUGGAGAACUGAGGGGGGCUGCUCCUAGUACGAGAGGACCGGAGUGGACGCAUCACUGGUGUUCGGGUUGUCAUGCCAAUGGCACUGCCCGGUAGCUAAAUGCGGAAGAGAUAAGUGCUGAAAGCAUCUAAGCACGAAACUUGCCCCGAGAUGAGUUCUCCCUGACUCCUUGAGAGUCCUGAAGGAACGUUGAAGACGACGACGUUGAUAGGCCGGGUGUGUAAGCGCAGCGAUGCGUUGAGCUAACCGGUACUAAUGAACCGUGAGGCUUAACCUUACAACGCCGAAG
rnacentral:rRNA from 1 species